UAACGGCCUACCAUGGCUCCGAUGGGUAGCUGGUUUGAGAGAGCGACCAGCCACACUGGGACUGAGAAACGGCCCAUACUCCUAUGGGAGGCAGCAGUGAGGAAUUUUCCGCAAUGGGCGCAAGCCUGACGGAGCGACGCCGCGUGUGGGAAGAAGGCCUUCGGGUCGUAAACCACUGUCGAAGGGGACGAUAAUGACGGUACCCUUGGAGGAAGCCCCGGCUAACUACGUGCCAGCAGCCGCGGUAAGACGUAGGGGGCAAGCGUUAUUCGGAAUCAUUGGGCGUAAAGCGCACGCAGGCGGUCGUGUAAGUUUGGGGUUACAGCUCCCGGCUCAACCGGGAGAGCGCCUUGAAGACUGCAGGACUUGAGGGCCAAAGAGGGACACAGAAUUCCGGGUGUAGUGGUGAAAAUG
rnacentral:rRNA from 1 species